CUUAAAGUACUUGGCCACUUCCAGACAGUAGAGAUUCCUACCAUCAGAUUUGAAUUGGCUGGCCUCUACAGGGUCUUCUGGUGUGAAGGAUAACCUCCAGCUGUCCAGCAGUCCCGUCCUGUUUAUUAUCACAAAACCUUCGAUGUAAUCGAAUUUGUCAUCAUCUGACGAAAUCAGGCGCUCUUGGUCCCUCGCAAAAGCUGCAAAAUCCAGGUCGCUGUUCUGUCUCUCUGAACAGUUUAAAAUCUCACCUUUUCCUGCAACAACCUUUUUAUUGAUGAACAUUGCUGAUCUGCGGCCCGUGUCGGAAUGCCUGGCCGCUGAUUCCAGCAUUGGACAGAGUACCACCAACAGUUAAAUGUAGGUAGUCCGUCCAUGAUUUUGGUGCAAGCCCGUACUUUAGGGUCUCGUGCAAAAUGUUUAUCCACAGCUCACCACCAGACACAUCAACGAACGGAGUAGGACCACCACCCACGCCGUGGACCUGCAGCUUCUGAGGCUGUAGUGAUUCCAUGUGGAUAACAAUUCCAUGUCUAGUCUGUGCUUGGCCUUGGAGUGAAUGUCCACGGCCUCUCGCUGCCACCGUGAGCUGUGAAUGAGGCCCCAUCAUCCAUAUGUGUCGUAUCACCGAGGCGAUGUCGCUUACGGAUUUGGGAUGCAAGACCGCCAAAGCAAGCAGCUGGUACCGGUUUCCAAAAUCUUUGGAGGCGGGAUGGACAUGUUCGAACUCCAAGUGGCCUACUAGGGGAAGGGCUUUCAACGAAGAGAUGCCGCUAGAGAAGCAGCAAGCUAACUUAAAGGCUAUGCAGCUGAGUAGUAGUAAGAUGGCAGAAGAGUAUUGAAACAAAAGGUUGAAAAGCUAAUGCGAUUCUGAAUGGCGGAGGCAACCAAUAUUUUUUGGUUGUGAGAAUCCGGAUGGGGACUUGGCUGUCUACAAUGGGUUAUAUAUAUAGCUUUAGAAGCCAUAAAGGAGAAGGUGCCUAGUUGAAGGGAAAAAGUGACAAGAAAGAAAGAGAUCUCACGAAUCUUUUUUUUUUAAUUUUAUCUUUUCAUAACAGUUACACGCACAAUCUUGGCUUUUUAGGCAGACAAGAUCAUACCAUAACACUUUUUACUUUGAAACUUACCAUUUGAAGCACUCCUUUUUUAUCCUCUUAUCCCAUACAUACAUUACAUGUUUCCAGUCUUUAUUCAGGCUUUUGACUAGGAUGAAACGCAGAAGGAUUGGUCUGUGAGAAAAAAGAAUGGCAUAUCACUGAACUGAAGAGGGGUCAGCAGACGUGGAACGAAAGAAAUCCUUGUGGGAAAAUGAGGAGGCAAUUUCAGUCAUUGAUGGGACCCGACAACACAAUCCUUUGUAAGGCAAAAAACUGAACGAUAGCACAAACCAAAGAAACCAAUGAGUGAGUCUUUCUGUUACUGAUUUAAGGCAUCCCCUUGCAGCUAGCUGACAAAAAAAAAACACUAACUGAAUCAUCUCUUAUAUUCAUAAAUUAUUGUGCUUGACAUUAUUAUGAGAUUAGCUUUAAAUUGUGUUUAAUUUACUUUUGCUAAACAUCCGGCAUGUGGAUAACAGAGAGGGACUCAGUGCUUCCUCAAACAUAAUCAUCUCGGAAAAUCUCAUUUUUAUUUGUCUUUUGUUGGGGGGUUAAUUUUUCCCAUUUGUUUUAAUUAUUACUCUCUCUCUCUCUCUCUUUCUCUCUCUCUCUCUCUCUCUCUCUCUCUCUCUCUCUCUUUGGUACAUAGUUUACAUUCAGUUUCGGAUCACCAUCUUUGGGUUACGCUACCACCACCGAGAUCGUUAUAAUAUGGUAGUAACGAGAAAGGUUUAAUCUUAUGGAAGGAUCAAAACAGGAAGAGAGAGAGAGAGAGAGACUGGUGACAAAAAGUGGCCUAGUGAAGAUUGUGUCCACCACAUUAGAAAUCUCGGGUGUGACAGAGAUUGUGUUGACCAGUCCAUUUUAGAAGUUGGGCUCAUAUCAACUAACUGUUGCAGUGGUGGGCAUGGUGUGAACUGAAAACGGAGUUGGUGGAAAUGGUUGGUCUCUAGAAGGAGAAGCGAUCAGAGAGCAUUAGCGAGAGAGUCGUGGGGCACAGCUUGUCCCAAAGCAAAUCUUGGUCCUAAUUUAAAUAUAAUAUAUAUAUGUGCCUUCGAACAUUUGUCAGCCAAAGGUUCGAAGGGACGGCUGUGGUAGUGUGUGUGAUUGAAGUGGACUGGUCCACGCAGACUGUGACGCGUCUGCUGACAAAUCAGCUUAAACUCUUAUUGGUGCUUCCUUCAAACCUUCACGUGGCUUUGUCCCCAUUAUCAUAUUUUUUUCAGCAAAAACAAAUUAAGAAAAGUAUGUGUGCGCGCGUCUUUCCACCGUUUAUAAAAAAUCAUCGUUAUUGUGAGUAUAUGAUUAUGUUUUGUCAUAUAGAGUAGGAGGAUCCGCGUCUUACUUCCUUUGAAAAACACAAAUCACGAGUUUUGUGUGAUCAUAAUCUCCCGAGUUCCACUCCCACUCACGCGUAAGUCAAAAUAGGCUCACGAAGCCUUCUUGGAUCUAAAUGGAGAAUUCUUUCAGCCCACUAAAGUAGAGUCGAACUUGGGCUAGCAUAUGAUUGGGAAUCAACGGUUUGAACACAGUACUGAGCAUUGCAGACAACAGUUGAAGCAGAAGUAUGAUCAAAUCCGGGAUGCAAUAUAUAUAUCUUGACGAGCCUUUUCACACAUUUCAAAUGAUGAUACAAACAAACAAAAAUGAAAUAAAAGAAGCCACAAAUUAAAGAAGACCAAUCACUGUCUCUCGUGUGUUCAGAUCCCAUGUAUUUGCUAAAAAAAAAAUGGUUCUGUUUCAGAUUGUGUCAGAGAUUUAAAUAAUCUAGUUUUUUUUUUUGCAUCAGAAGAGCAGCCUUCUCCUCCUACGCAGCGAGGCGGACCUGUUAAGAGCAGCCAUAUGGCGUAUGGUCUCACCAACCAGAUCUUUGAAAACAAGCCGUUCGAUGACGAGAACCGCCUCCGACGUCUCCACCUGAAAAUCUCGCCAAGGAUCCUCCGAUAGAUCUCUCCCGAGGACCCCGCACACGUACCCCACAAGGUCCGCUGCUUCCUCCUCCUCAGCUGGCGAGGAGCUUUUCUUUCUUAGCUUCUGAAACUCGGACCAGGUCAGCUGCAGCAUCUCGUCAGCGUCUCCAACCAUUCUCCCCCUCCUCCUUAUCCGCCCAACAAUCUCCUGAACCGCGUCGAAGGUGAGCCUUCUCUCGUGAGCGGAGGCGCGUUCGCUGCUCUUGAGGAGGUAUUGCUGCUUUUCCUCGAGCAGCGAGAAGAUGUCGGAUUCUUGCGGUAGGCAAUUGGAGGCUCUGAGGAUGUCGGAGAUGUAGUCGUAUUCAGAGUCCGAAGAUGAUGACAUGAAGGAUUCAUCUUCCAGUAGUAGUUCUGUCAUAACAUGCAAAACUAAGAGAUAGAUAGAUAGAUACAUACAAAGAGGAGAGAGUGGAAGGUUUUAGAGUAUGUUUUAUACCAGUGAAGUGAAGGGUGCGUUUCGUGACCGGGGAUGGAGAAGAGUCCUCUUGGUAAAGGGAGGCAUCAAGAACCGAGACUGGACUCGGCUGUGAAUCUCCCGCAGCCGCAGCCGCAGCCUCAGACGCAGCCAUUUCGGCAAUGCUGUUUAGAAGCUUGUCGCAUCUCUCCAGUAGAUUUUUCCCAUGUUUGUUAAACUCUUCAUGGUCUUCUUCAAUCGGUCGUCCUCGGCUGCGGUUCCUUGUGUGGACAUGUUCGGCUCUCCAGGAAUCCUUGAGCGUCGGUCUCCUGUUAGGAGUCUUGACGCUGUUUUCACUUCUCUUUGCUUUGCUUAGAUCUGGCUUGGAAGCUACAGAUCUGAUGGGAGAUUGAGAGAUGAUGACGUUCCUGUUUGUUGAAGAAGAAGAGUGCAACAGUCCUUUGAGCCUAAGAGCUUCGAGAAGCUGCUUAAGGGUUUCAAGAUCAGACUCGGAUCCACGACUCAUCACUUGCCUUGGCUCCGGGAAGAAAUCUGCUGUAUCGAAAAAACUCUUUCGCCUUAGCGGGACUGGAGUAGAAGAAGCUUUUGAUGGCUCCUUCGUGGAGUGGUGAUCUUCUUCAGCUCCUUGGGUGCUGCUCUGCGGGUUUUGAAAGUUCAACCUGUCCACAAAUCUACUGAUGACCCUCGACUCGGAUGCAGAUCGCUGAAGAGGCUGCUGCUGCUGCGAAUCAGGCAAUGCCUCCAAUCCCAUGAGCCUUGCGAUCACGCUGGGCGAUCCAGACCCCACAUCAGCGUGGAUCUGUCUGGGUUUGAGGCUUCCCUUGGCAUCCACCACGGCUCUACUAUCCAGCGAGAGUCUAGGAGCUUCUUUGGAGAACCUCCUGGGAGAUACUACUUGUUGUUUAAACUCUGGGGGAGCCGGAGACCGGAGCUGUGGGGUGGAAUAGACACUGUGGCUCCCUGACUCCAGUGAAGGUUCAGUCUUCAAAGAAGGGGAGGAGGAGGAGGAGAGACGUUUGGGCAGGGAAAAUCGUUUGGGGGAGAGAAGAUGAGGACGAUCGAAGAUGUUGAAGAAGCCGGCCAUGCAACCACCAAUGUGCUUCUCCACAUCUCCCUCUUUCACCAUCCUUGUCUCCAUUUUCAACACAUUCUUCAGUUUCUUUCUUUCUUUCUUCUUUAUAUUAGUAUCACUCACUCACUAGUCACCACUCACCACGACUUUCUCUGUCUUUAAAAGGAGGAUGGUACCAAAUCUAUUAUUAAUAUGACUCUUGUACCCUUCUCCUCUACUCUUAUUUCCCACUUACAUCCUCCAUUCAACGUCCUUCUGCUAUUAUAUUAUUAACAUCUUCUGAUACUCUCCCAAAUUAAUAAUUCAACAACUAUGUACUUUCUAUAAUGUUUUAAUAACUUCUCUACUUAACACUUUCUCUCAUCUAAACAUCAUUUACUAGUAGCUUUCGUCCAUUUUUAAUUGUCGGAGUUGGAACAGAAGACAAGGAGAGAUGGAAGGGGCCUAUGGGGAAAUGGAGAAAAUGUGGACCCCACUGUUUGACCGACAUUGACUGGCACUUUUCGAGAUGACACGUGGAAUGCAUAAGUAUGACCGUUACCAAAACACCACGACGGCUGCCCGGGAGCUUUGGUUGGUAUGGACAAGAAAUUCGGCGAUUGCGUCAAAGCUUUCGCGUCCAGACGUAAUAGGAAAUGGUGACGACCACUUACUUACUCGAGAUGUACAAAUUAUGAGACAACGGACAUCUUACUAAUCCUACCAAUUUAAUUUAAAUAACCCAAAACCCAAUGAAUAUAGAUUGAAAAUUAAUUUUUGGUAGAAAAAAUGAUGAUGAAGCGGGAAGAGAAAGGGGUUUGGACGAUUUGAGCAUGUGAGUGGAGCUAAAGUAAUAAUGCAUGUUUCAAUGUUUUUUUUUUUUUUCAAAAAUCACGAGGUAAGGUCAGUAUUGAAAUCAAAAUAUUCGUUCAUGUGUAUUGUGGUGCUCUGAGUCUGACCACAGAUGCAGAUUUUUGUAACGUGCAUCUUCCGGCUUCUCAAUUAUUUACUUAUUUUACUUCACCAACAACUAUGAAACACUUUUUGAGAUAAGCUUAA